UACGGACAUAUCAAGUUGAAACACCAGUUCCCGUACGAUCACCGAAGUUAAGCGGCGUCAGGACUGGUCAGGACCUAAAUGGGUAACCACUUGGGAAUACCAGGAGCUGUAA